UACGUAGGGUGCAAGCGUUAUCCGGAUUUAUUGGGUUUAAAGGGUGCGUAGGCGGUUCGUUAAGUCAGCGGUAAAAUUGCGGGGCUCAACCCCGUCGAGCCGUUGAAACUGGCAGACUUGAGUUGGCGAGAAGUACGCGGAAUGCGCGGUGUAGCGGUGAAAUGCAUAGAUAUCGCGCAGAACUCCGAUUGCGAAGGCAGCGUACCGGCGCCAGACUGACGCUGAGGCACGAAAGCGUGGGGAUCGAACAGG
rnacentral:rRNA from 1 species